rnacentral:misc_RNA from 1 species
UCUCCGUAGGUGAACCUGCGGAGGGAUCAUUACUGAGUGAGGGUCUCCGGGCCCGACCUCCAACCCUUUGUGAAUCGUACUCGUUGCUUCGUGGGCGACCCUGCCGGCACUCGGUCGCCGGGCGCCCCCGAAGGUCUCCCAACACUGCAUCUUUGUGUCGGAGUUUGAAACAAAUUAAACAAAACUUUCAACAACGGAUCUCUUGGUUCUGGCAUCGAUGAAGAACGCAGC